CUCCUAAGGCUAAAUACUCUCUAGUGACCGAUAGUGAACCAGUACCGUGAGGGAAAGGUGAAAAGCACCCCGGAAGGGGAGUGAAAUAGAACCUGAAACCGUGUGCUUACAAGUAGUCAGAGCCCGUUAAUGGGUGAUGGCGUGCCUUUUGUAGAAUGAACCGGCGAGUUACGAUUUGAUGCAAGGUUAAGCAGUAAAUGUGGAGCCGUAGCGAAAGCGAGUCUGAAUAGGGCGUUUAGUAUUUGGUCGUAGACCCGAAACCAGGUGAUCUACCCUUGGUCAGGUUGAAGUUCAGGUAACACUGAAUGGAGGACCGAACCGACUUACGUUGAAAAGUGAGCGGAUGAACUGAGGGUAGCGGAGAAAUUCCAAUCGAACCUGGAGAUAGCUGGUUCUCUCCGAAAUAGCUUUAGGGCUAGCCUCAAGUGAUGAUUAUUGGAGGUAGAGCACUGUUUGGACGAGGGGCCCCUCUCGGGUUACCGAAUUCAGACAAACUCCGAAUGCCAAUUAAUUUAACUUGGGAGUCAGAACAUGGGUGAUAAGGUCCGUGUUCGAAAGGGAAACAGCCCAGACCACCAGCUAAGGUCCCAAAAUAUAUGUUAAGUGGAAAAGGAUGUGGCGUUGCCCAGACAACUAGGAUGUUGGCUUAGAAGCAGCCAUCAUUUAAAGAGUGCGUAAUAGCUCACUAGUCGAGUGACACUGCGCCGAAAAUGUACCGGGGCUAAACAUAUUACCGAAGCUGUGGAUUGUCCUUUGGACAAUGGUAGGAGAGCGUUCUA
rnacentral:rRNA from 1 species